AAUAAGCCAGGACCAAAAAGUUAAACACCACAUGUUCUCACUCAUAUGUGGAAGCUAAAAAAGUUGAUUUCAUAGAAGUAAAAUGUAGAACAGAGGACAUUAGAGGCUAGGUAGGUAGUUGAGAUGGG